AAGAAUGAGGAGAAAUGGUGAUGUUGAUUAAGUCACUACUGUUGAGCUUUAUUAUGCAGCAAGAGCUAAUUUACACAAUCUUACUGAUACCAUUGGUGAAGGUGGAGCCCACAGGGCCAUGUGUUUCCUUCUCAAGUUCUAUGCUGCAUUUCGAUGACUGAACAAGAUGGGAGGCCUUAGAGAAGACCACUGACUACGAUAAAUAUCCGUUUAAGAUUUUUUUCUUUGAAACACAAUAUUUCAGUCUUAAUGUAUGUCAUACUGUUAUUAAUUCUAGUAUAGUUUUGUAGGUUAGUUUCCAAAGAGUUGGUUGGUCAUCAUAUUAGGGGUCCCUGGAAGAACAGAACCCAUAAAAUCAAUGUUUAUACUAAAAGGGGAUUUCUUACAUUGGUUUAAGAAUGUGGGUGGUCCAACAAUGGUUGUCUUUCACUGGAGAUGAUCAGAAUCUGGUAGAUGCUGAACUAGGAGGCUGGAUGUCUUGGCAAUCUCAGUCUGGUGAUGAAGGCCUGGAAGAUUCCUGAAAAUCUGCUGGUCUUCAGUCUACAUUGCAAGCUCAUAGAAGCAGCUUCUGAGAUCAGUGGAAGAAUGUAGCCAUAACAGCAACAGGAGAUAUGGACCUCCCAACAAGAGUGAUGAAAGCUCUUCCUUCCACAUCCUUUUAUCUGGGCUGCUACAAAAGGUACCACCUAUAUUUAGAUCUUUCCAUAAAAUAGUCUCAUCAAGAAAGAUUUCAGAUCCAUGUAAAUUCACAAUCUAGAUUAACUAUCUCUGUUGUCAUGAGUGCCC
rnacentral:lncRNA from 1 species